rnacentral:rRNA from 1 species
CCCUACUGCUAUCGGGGUGGGACUAAGACAUGCGAGUUGUGCGUCUCUAAGCUAUGGUAGAGACGCGGCGUACGGCUCAGUAACACGUGGCUAACCUACCCUUAGGACGGGGACAACCCCGGGAAACUGGGGCUAAUACCCGAUAGGUGAGGAGGCCUGGAAUGGUUCCUAGUCGAAAAGGCGUUGAGACCAUGCUUUUCGACGUCGCCUAAGGAUGGGGCCGCGCCCGAUCAGGUUGUUGGUGGGGUAACGGCUCACCAAGCCUAUAACCGGUACGGGCCGUGAGAGCGGGAGCCCGGAGAUGGGCACUGAGAUAAGGGCCCAGGCCCUACGGGGCGCAGCAGUCGCGAAAACUCCGCAAUGCGCGAAAGCGUGACGGGGCUACCCCGAGUGCCGUCCGCUGAGGAUGGCUUUUCCUCGGUGUAAUGAGCCGGGGGAAUAAGGAGAGGGCAAGACUGGUGUCAGCCGCCGCGGUAAUACCAGCUCUCCGAGUAGUAGGGACGAUUAUUGGGCUUAAAGCGUCCGUAGCCGGCUUAGCAAGUCUCCUGUUAAAUUCAGCGACCUAAUCGUUGAGCCGCGGGAGAUACUACUAGGCUAGGAGGCGGGAGAGGCCGACGGUAUUCCCGGGGUAGGGGUGAAAUCCUAUAAUCCCGGGAGGACCACCAGUGGCGAAGGCUGUCGGCUAGAACGCGCUCGACGGUGAGGGACGAAAGCUGGGGGAGCGAACCGGAUUAGAUACCCGGGUAGUCCCAGCUGUAAACGAUGCGGGCUAGGUGUUGAGGUGGCUACGAGCCACUUCAGUGCCGCAGGGAAGCCAUUAAGCCCGCCGCCUGGGGAGUACGGCCGCAAGGCUGAAACUUAAAGGAAUUGGCGGGGGAGCACCACAAGGCGUGAAGCUUGCGGUUC